UCUGUCUCUCUCUUUCCCUGUCAUGUGAGGACACAGUGAGAAGGGAACCAUCUACAGGCCAGGAAGAGAGCUCUCCCCAGAAACUGACCACGCUGACACCUUGAUCUUGGACUUGCACGCCUUCAGAACCAGAAAGGGUCUUGCUCUGUCGCCCAGACUGGAGUGCAGUGGCUUGAUCGUGGAGUGGAGUGACUGCUGGAGCCCUGAACUCCUGGGCUCAAGCAGUCCUCCUGCCUCAGCCUCUUGAGUAGCUGGAACUGCAGGCCUUUGCAUCCAUUCCUCACUUGAUCUUCACAACACACUUGUGCAGUAGAAAAGUAUCACACCUAUUUUCCAGUUGAGGAAGCCAAGGCUACAUGGCUCAUCCAGGGUCACAGAGCUAGUAAACUGGCAGAGGUAGGACUCGAACCUGGGUCCUCUGCCUCCGGGCUGUGUUCUUUCCUGUAUGCUAAGUCUCCUUCUAAAUGAAGACCCUGCUAGGGAGAAAAAGAGUGAACACAGGAAGACUUUAAAAGUUACCUGUCAGCCUGAACUUCUGGAAGAGGGGGAUGAAGCCUUGCAGGAUGCUGUGGAUGCGGUACACUGCUCAGAAGCAAAGAAAAAAGUGAGUUAAGUUUGUACCCCCACAAGGGAUACCUGGUCACCAUUGGACAAGGACCUAACUCAUGCAAACAAAGCUCUGAUGGCGGAAUUUCAGGCAGCAGGUUAAGCUUAGAUAAUGGUACUAGAGUUAUUAUUACUGAAAACAACAACCGUG